UACUGAUGAUGUGGACAGUCAGGAAGAAGAGCUUUGAACCUCUCCCAAACAUUAUAUAAGUUCUCAUAAGCCCUCUGUUUGAAACUUAUGCUCUCAUUGCAUAAUUU
rfam:Capsicum annuum cultivar Zunla-1 unplaced genomic scaffold scaffold90, whole genome shotgun sequence